GACGAACGCUGGCGGCGUGCUUAACACAUGCAAGUCGAACGGAAAGGCCCUGCUUUUGUGGGGUGCUCGAGUGGCGAACGGGUGAGUAACACGUGAGUAACCUGCCCUUGACUUUGGGAUAACUUCAGGAAACUGGGGCUAAUACCGGAUAGGAGCUCCUGCUGCAUGGUGGGGGUUGGAAAGUUGCGGCGGUUGGGGAUGGACUCGCGGCUUAUCAGCUUGUUGGUGGGGUAGUUGCUUACCAAGGCUUUGACGGGUAGCCGGCCUGAGAGGGUGACCGGCGACAUGGGGCCUGAGAGACGGCCCAGACUCCUACGGGAGGCAGCAGUGGGGAGUCUUGCACAAUGGGCGGAAGCCUGAUGCAGCGGCGCCGCGGGCGGGAUGACGGCCUUGGGGGUAUAAACCGCUUUCGCCUGUGACGAAGCGUGAGUGACGGUAAUGGGUAAAGAAGCACCGGCUAACUACGUG
rnacentral:rRNA from 1 species